rnacentral:misc_RNA from 1 species
AAAACAGGUAAAUAAAAUACAUUUUCCCCUAUGUAUAUUUAUAUAGUCUUCACUGAGUUUGGUAUUUUGGUAAAUUUAGAAUACAUUUCAUAAUAACAAUUCCAUGGACAAAAACAGUAAAAAUUAUUCAUGCCAUAUUGAUCUCUAAACAUUCUAAGCCGUUGCACAAACAUAAAUACGUGUUUUUGCAGGUUAUUUUGAAACCGAAACCAGACAUGCAAGCUAUAGAAGAAUAUUAUUAGUCAUAUCCAAUUUUACAGAAUUCCCUACAUCACAAUGCUCUCAAAAGCAAACUAUGCAA